UACGAAGGGGGCUAGCGUUGUUCGGAAUUACUGGGCGUAAAGCGUGCGCAGGCGGUGAUGUAAGACAGGUGUGAAAUCCCCGGGCUUAACCUGGGAACUGCAUUUGUGACUGCAUCGCUGGAGUGCGGCAGAGGGGGAUGGAAUUCCGCGUGUAGCAGUGAAAUGCGUAGAUAUGCGGAGGAACACCGAUGGCGAAGGCAAUCCCCUGGGCCUGCACUGACGCCCAUGCACGAAAGCGUGGGGAGCAAACAGG
rnacentral:rRNA from 1 species